rnacentral:rRNA from 1 species
UACAGAGGUCUCAAGCGUUGUUCGGAUUCAUUGGGCGUAAAGGGUGCGUAGGUGGCGCUGUAAGUCGGGUGUGAAAUUUCGGAGCUUAACUCCGAAACUGCAUUCGAUACUGCGGUGCUUGAGGACUGGAGAGGAGACUGGAAUUCAUGGUGUAGCAGUGAAAUGCGUAGAGAUCAUGAGGAAGACCAGUGGCGAAGGCGGUUCUCUGGGCCUUACCUGACGCUGAGGAGCGAAAGCGUGGGGAGCGAACAGG